rnacentral:rRNA from 1 species
GACCUGGCUCAGGAUGAACGCUAGCUACAGGCUUAACACAUGCAAGUCGAGGGGCAGCAUGGUCUUAGCUUGCUAAGGCCGAUGGCGACCGGCGCACGGGUGAGUAACACGUAUCCAACCUGCCGUCUACUCUUGGACAGCCUUCUGAAAGGAAGAUUAAUACAAGAUGGCAUCAUGAGUCCGCAUGUCCACAUGAUUAAAGGUAUUCCGGUAGACGAUGGGG